UCCUACGGGAGGCAGCAGUGAGGAAUAUUGGUCAAUGGGCGGGAGCCUGAACCAGCCAAGCCGCGUGAGGGAAGAAGGUACAGCGUAUCGUAAACCUCUUUUGUCAGGGAACAAAGGCGGGGACUAGUCCCCGGAUGAGGGUACCCGAAGAAUAAGCUCCGGCUAACUACGUGCCAGCAGCCGCGGUAAUACGUAGGGAGCAAGCGUUAUCCGGAUUUACUGGGUGUAAAGGGCGUGUAGGAGGGCAUGCAAGCCAGAAGGGAAAUCUGGGGG
rnacentral:rRNA from 1 species